AAGUGACGACACUGAGUGCUCCCUUAAAUGGCGGUAGGCGGGUGCUUAGCUCUCUCUCGGCCUUAGCGUCAUCUUCUUGGAUACCUCCGCGCCAUGAGAGCCAAGUGGAGGAAGAAGCGAAUGCGCAGGCUGAAGCGCAAAAGAAGAAAGAUGAGGCAGAGGUCCAAGUAAACCGCUAGCUUGUGCACCCAUGGAAGCCACGGGAGCAGAAAUGAGGAAAGCCAGAGGCCAGGGACACUGGAACGAAUUGUUGGACUUGCAUGCCUAAUGUCUAGGACUUCUCAAUGGAUCUAGAACAUACAUUGCCAUCUGUUCCCCACGACCAUCUUGAGAGACGCACUUUUCUCGUACAAAAACCGUCCUUUGCUCUGGACCUGUGAUAUUCUGGACAAGUUUUGUUCUUAGUUGUGGCUGAAUGUAACGUGUACAAUAAAUCAUCUGCUGUUAGCUGAA